rnacentral:tRNA from 1 species
GCCGGGGUGGUGGAAUGGUAGACACGCAACGUUCAGGACGUUGUGAGAGCAAUCUCGUGGAGGUUCAACUCCUCUUCCCGGCA